rnacentral:rRNA from 1 species
CCUACGGGUGGCAGCAGUGGGGGAUAUUGCACAAUGGGGGCAACCCUGAUGCAGCGACGCCGCGUGAGCGAUGGAGUACUUCGGUAUGUAAAGCUCUGUCAGCAGGGAAGAGAAUGACGGUACCUGACCAAGAAGCCCCGGCUAAAUACGUGCCAGCAGCCGCGGUAAUACGUAUGGGGCAAGCGUUGUUCGGAAUGACUGGGCGUAAAGGGUGUGUAGGCGGUGUAGCAAGUUAGAAGUGAAAUACCUAGAGCUUAACUCAGGUGCUGCUUCUAAAACUGCUAUACUUGAGUGCAGUAGAGGAAAGUGGAAUUCCUAGUGUAGCGGUGGAAUGCGUAGAUAUUAGGAGGAACAUCAGUGGCGAAGGCGACUUUCUGGACUGUAACUGACGCUGAGGCACGAAAGUGUGGGGAGCAAACAGGAUUAGAUACCCUGGUAGUC